rnacentral:rRNA from 1 species
GAUGAACGCUAGCGGCAGGCCUAAUACAUGCAAGUCGAACGGGAUCCAGAUCAAAGCUUGCUUUGGUUUGGUGAGAGUGGCGUACGGGUGCGUAACGCGUGAGCAACCUACCCUUGUCAGGGGGAUAGCCCGGCGAAAGUCGGAUUAAUACCGCAUGACUUCAUUGAGAGGCAUCUUUCGAUGAUCAAAGAUUUAUCGGACAAGGAUGGGCUCGCGUGACAUUAGCUAGUUGGUAAGGUAACGGCUUACCAAGGCUACGAUGUCUAGGGGCUCUGAGAGGAGAAUCCCCCACACUGGUACUGAGACACGGACCAGACUCCUACGGGAGGCAGCAGUAAGGAAUAUUGGUCAAUGGACGGAAGUCUGAACCAGCCAUGCCGCGUGCAGGAAGACGGCCCUAUGGGUUGUAAACUGCUUUUAUACGGGAACAAACGUCGGUACGUGUACCGGUCUGAGUGUACCGUAAGAAUAAGGAUCGGCUAACCCCGUG